GACGAACGCUGGCGGCGUGCCUAAUACAUGCAAGUUGAGCGAUGAAGCUUGGUGCUUGCACCAAUUUGAAGAGCAGCGAACGGGUGAGUAACGCGUGGGGAAUCUGCCUCUGAGCGGGGGACAACAUUUGGAAACGAAUGCUAAUACCGCAUAACAACUUUAAACAUAAGUUUUAAGUUUGAAAGAUGCAAUUGCAUCACUCAAAGAUGAUCCCGCGUUGUAUUAGCUAGUUGGUGAGGUAAAGGCUCACCAAGGCGAUGAUACAUAGCCGACCUGAGAGGGGGGUCGGCCAAAAUGGGACUGGGAAACGGCCCAAACUCCUACGGGAGGGAGCAGUAGGGGAACUUCGGCAAUGGACGGAAGGCUUGCCGAGCAAAGGCGCGUGGGUGGAGGAGGUUUUCGGAACGUAAAACUCUGUUGGUAGAGAAGAACGUUGUUGGGAGUGGAAAGCGCAUGAAGUGACGGUAACUAACCAGAAAGGGACGGCUAACUACGUG
rnacentral:rRNA from 1 species